CGCGGCCUAUCAGCUUGUUGGUGAGGUAGUGGCUCACCAAGGCGACGACGGGCAGCCGGCCUGAGAGGGCGACCGGCCACACUGGGACUGAGACACGGCCCAGACUCCUACGGGAGGCAGCAGUGGGGAAUAUUGCACAAUGGGCGCAAGCCUGAUGCAGCGACGCCGCGUGGGGGAUGAAGGCCUUCGGGUUGUAAACUCCUUUCAGCAGGGAAGAAGCGAAAGUGACGGUACCUGCAGAAGAAGCGCCGGCUAACUACGUGCUAGCAGCCGCGGUAAUACGUAGGGCGCAAGCGUUGUCCGGAAUUAUUGGGCGUAAAGAGCUCGUAGGUGGUUUGUCGCGUCUGCUGUGAAAACCCGAGGCUCAACCUCGGGCCUGCAGUGGGUACGGGCAGACUAGAGUGCGGUAGGGGAGACUGGAAUUCCUGGUGUAGCGGUGGAAUGCGCAGAUAUCAGGAGGAACACCGAUGGCGAAGGCAGGUCUCUGGGCCGCAACUGACACUGAGGAGCGAAAGCAUGGGGAGCGAACAGGAUUAGAUACCCUGGUAGUCCAUGCCGUAAACGUUGGGCACUAGGUGUGGGGCUCAUUCCACGAGUUCCGUGCCGCAGCUAACGCAUUAAGUGCCCCGCCUGGGGAGUACGG
rnacentral:rRNA from 1 species